rnacentral:rRNA from 1 species
AAGUAAAAGUCGUAACAAGGUUUCCGUAGGUGAACCUGCGGAAGGAUCAUUAUCGAGUUUUGAACGGGUUGUAGCUGGCCUUUAACGAGGCAUGUGCACACCUGGCUCAUCCACUCUCAACCUCUGUGCACUUUAUGUAAGAAACGGUGUAAGCCAGCUAUUUAAUAGUUGGUAACAAGCCUUUCUUAUGUUUACUACAAACGCUUCAGUUAUAGAAUGUUUACUGUGUAUAACACAAUUAUAUACAACUUUCAGCAACGGAUCUCUUGGCUCUCGCAUCGAUGAAGAACGCAGCGAAAUGCGAUAAGUAAUGUGAAUUGCAGAAUUCAGUGAAUCAUCGAAUCUUUGAACGCACCUUGCACUCCUUGGUAUUCCGAGGAGUAUGCCUGUUUGAGUCUCAUGGAAUUCUCAACCCCUAAAUUUUGUAAUGAAGUUUAGUGGGCUUGGACUUGGAGGUUGUGUCGGCUUCUAGUCGACUCCUCUGAAAUGCAUUAGCGUGAAUCUUACGGAUCGCCUUCAGUGUGAUAAUUAUCUGCGCUGUGGUGUUGAAGUAUUUAUUAGUUCAUGCUUAUAGUCGUCUCUUACCGAGACAA